rnacentral:rRNA from 1 species
UACGUAGGGGGCAAGCGUUAUCCGGAUUUACUGGGUGUAAAGGGAGCGUAGACAGCAGAGCAAGUCUGAAGUGAAAGCCCGCGGCCCAACUGCGGGACUGCUUUGGAAACUGCCCGGCUAGAGUGCUGGAGAGGUAAGCGGAAUUCCUAGUGUAGCGGUGAAAUGCGUAGAUAUUAGGAGGAACACCAGUGGCGAAGGCGGCUUACUGGACAGUAACUGACGUUGAGGCUCGAAAGCGUGGGGAGCAAACAGG